GUACUUGCUUUGGCAGCACAUAUGCAACAACUGGAAUAAUACCAAGAUUGGUAUAUCUCCUGCAUAAGGAUGACAUGCAAAUUUCUGAAGCAUUACACACAUAC
ensembl:snRNA U6 U6 spliceosomal RNA